UACGGGGGGGGCAAGCGUUGUUCGGAAUUACUGGGCGUAAAGGGCUCGUAGGCGGCCAACUAAGUCAGACGUGAAAUCCCUCGGCUUAACCGGGGAACUGCGUCUGAUACUGGAUGGCUUGAGAUUGGGAGAGGGAUGCGGAAUUCCAGGUGUAGCGGUGAAAUGCGUAGAUAUCUGGAGGAACACCGGUGGCGAAGGCGGCUUCUUGGGCCGUUCCUGACGCUGAGGCGCGAAAGCCAGGGGAGCGAACGGG
rnacentral:rRNA from 1 species